rnacentral:ncRNA from 1 species
CCUUGACAGCGUAAGCUGACAUUUGCCACGACAAGGAGAUUAAUAUG